GGAGUGUUAGCUCAGUUGGGAGAGCUCCUGCCUUACAAGCAGGCGGUCGGCGGUUCGAACCCGUCACACUCCACCA
rnacentral:tRNA from 1 species